rnacentral:lncRNA from 1 species
CCCGAAGGAAGAGUGAAAUAAAAAUACGAACAACUAUGUUAUAAUUUGAUUGUUAUCUGUUGACUCUACUUAAAACUUACUAAGCAUUGUAAUGCUUACUCCGUUUACUUUGUUUUCUCUGUUUUAUAGAUCUCAUUUCGAAGCUAUAGGCUCGGGGAUCGUCAGCAACUAGUCACACUAUCACUAUCCACUGCUUGUUACUGUUAUGUUUAGAAUUAUUUUAUGGCAUGUAUAGAAUAGACCAGUGGCCGAAGAAUAUUUUGGUUAAUGUAUAUAAGCCAUGCGAAAAUGGCAUCUUUUG